rnacentral:rRNA from 1 species
UGCCAGCCGCCGCGGUAAUACGGGGGGUGCAAGCGUUACUCGGAAUCACUGGGCGUAAAGAGCAUGUAGGCUGGUUUGUAAGUUGGAAGUGAAAUCCUAUGGCUUAACCAUAGAACUGCUUCCAAAACUGCAGACCUAGAGUAUGGGAGAGGUAGAUGGAAUUUCUGGUGUAGGGGUAAAAUCCGUAGAGAUCAGAAGGAAUACCGAUUGCGAAGGCGAUCUACUGGAACAUAACUGACGCUGAGAUGCGAAAGCGUGGGGAGCAAACAGGAUUAGAUA